AAAGGGAGACCUAAUUCAGGUAGGAGACGAAAAAAAAGUAGUCCCUACCAAGAAUCAAUCCCAAAAGGUCGGAGCGAGGCGAAAUUGGCUUUCAAACUAGGUUCUGGGUUCAAACAAGACCUGAAUCAGGAACAAGGGCUAUUAGCUCAGGUGGUUAGAGCGCACCCCUGAUAAGGGUGAGGUCCCUGGUUCGAGUCCAGGAUGGCCCACCUGUACAGGUGGCAAAAAGAAAGAAAAGAAGCGAGGAAUCAGCACCUUAUCUUAUCUAUAUAUAAGAGAGAAUGCUGGCUCUGAGUACAGAGUCCAGAGGAACCUUGAAAACUGCAUAGAGCUAGGUGAAAAAGCCAAAAAAGAAGACCGCAAG
rnacentral:tRNA from 1 species